GAGUUUGAUCCUGGCUCAGGAUGAACGCUAGCUGGAGGCUUAAUACAUGCAAGUCGAGCGGGAUCUCUGCAGCAAUGCAGGGUGAGAGCGGCGCACGGGUGAGUAACGCGUACACGACCUACCUCUGACAGGGGGAUAGCCCUGGGAAACCGGGAUUAAUACCGCAUAUUAUUCAGAAGAAUAAAGGUUCUGAAUGAAAGCUCAGGCGGUCAGAGAUGGGUGUGCGUCUGAUUAGCUAGUUGGUAGGGUAACGGCCUACCAAGGCGAUGAUCAGUAGGGGGCGUGAGAGCGUGGUCCCCCACACGGGUACUGAGACACGGACCCGACUCCUACGGGAGGCAGCAGUAAGGAAUAUUGGACAAUGGCCGCAAGGCUGAUCCAGCCAUCCAGCGUGCAGGAAGAAGGCCCUAUGGGUUGUAAACUGCUUUUAUCAGGGAAGAAACCUCUGGAUUCACUCCGGAGCUGACGGUACCUGAAGAAUAAGCACCGGCUAACUCCGUGCCAGCAGCCGCGGUAAUACGGAGGGUGCGAGCGUUAUCCGGAAUUACUGGGUUUAAAGGGUGCGUAGGCGGCUUGGUAAGUCAGGAGUGAAAGUUUGCGGCUCAACCGUAAAAUUGCUUUUGAUACUGCCAGGCUAGAAUUAGGAUGAGGUCAGCGGAAUGUGGCAUGUAGCGGUGAAAUGCAUAGAUAUGCCAUAGAACACCAAUUGCGAAGGCAGCUGGCUAGACCUAUAUUGACGCUGAGGCACGAAAGCGUGGGGAGCGAACAGGAUUAGAUACCCUGGUAGUCCACGCCGUAAA
rnacentral:rRNA from 1 species